GAUAGUCUGAAGUAGAUCAACCAUAACUUUUUACUCCGAUAUCCAAAUUGGAUGAAACCAAUUUCAUUAGAAAGACUCUCAUAUCUUUUCGUUGAUAUAUAGUAUCUCAACCAGGUCAUUGUGUACGAGGAGUUAUGAUCAUUUUGAAGUUAACCCAAAAAUUUACUUUUGAUAGGCUGAAGUAGAUCGACCAUAACUUUUUGCCCGGAU
rnacentral:lncRNA from 1 species